CCUACGGGCGGCUGCAGUAAGGAAUAUUGGACAAUGCCCGCAAGGGUGAUCCAGCCAUGCCGCGUGCAGGAAGACGGCCCUAUGGUUUGUAAACUGCUUUUGAACAAGAGAAAACCCCCUUACGUGUAAGGGGCUGAUAGUAUUGUUAGAAUAAGCAUCGGCUAACUUCGUGCCAGCAGCCGCGGUAAGACGAAGGAUGCAAGCGUUAUUCGGAUUCAUUGGGUUUAAGGGGAGUUGAUAAGUCAGUAUAGAAAUCUUCUCGCUUAACGGUAAAACUGCCAUUGAUACUGUCAAGCUUGAGUACAGUUGCCGUUGGCGGAAUAUGACAUGUAGUGGUGAAAUACAUAGAGAUGUCAUAGAACACCGAUUGCGAAGGCAGCUAACGAAACUGUAACUGACGCUGAGGCUCGAAAGUGCGGGGAUCAAACAGGAUUAGAUACCCGAGUAGUC
rnacentral:rRNA from 1 species